rnacentral:lncRNA from 1 species
GGAGAUGCACUGUGACCUCCUUGUGGAAGCUGUUCUUUGCUUGUUGUGGGUUUCAGACAUUUCAUCUCCCUGGGGAUCACAGCAACCAGGGCUGUGCUGAGUCCUGGCUCUUUCUCGAGGUGGCUGUGCAGGUGAAUGCUCUUGUGUUUAAUUGACAUCCUAUUUAUUGUUGAAGUGUUGCCCUUUUUGUGUUUUUUCUUCCCUUCUCUGUCCAGGAAGGAAGAUUUGGUUCAGCAAUCGGUCACAAGAGAUAAGCAAACAAGCUGAGAACACUUGCUCUGGAGCAUGUUUGAGAUCAGGCAGCUCUUCCUGACCCCUGUCUUGCCUCUCUCCUUCCCAGCAGCUCUCCCUGACUGCAUCAGGAAACUUCAUGGAGCCUUCUUGGAGGUGGAUUUUCCCAGGGAGUCAUCAGUGCUGCUGCCUGAUUUGUCAUUUUGUGCAGUGGAUAAAAGCAAUUUCAUGUUCGACUCUGAAACCCCUUGUUCACUUUAUGAAUAACUCCUGUGGCAUGGGUGGACCCUGGUCUGGACAUUUCUGCCACGUGUCCCAAACCCACCUUGCUUUUAUUAAAAGCCCACCUCUCACAAGUCAGGCCCUUGGAUGCCUCAUGCUCAGGCUAUAUUCCGCUCCUUCUGGAUCUACAUCUCUUCUUGGCAUCAAGAAGUACCUGAGAGGAAGGAAACAUAAAACAAAAUUUAAUCCUGUCAUUCUUUCUGCACAAAUGUGCCUGGUUUAUAUUCCUGGGGCAGCUCUUGCUAGAAAACACUGCAGAGUUUGCUGGUAGGAAAGGCAGAAGCCGUUCACCUUAGAGAAAACAGUCAUUCUCCAUGGCGAGGGAGCAGGAGAAGGAAAUUCAGACCCCCUUGGUCCCCUCAGCCCUGGAAACAGGGGUGGCACAGGCUGGGAGGGUUCAUGGCUCUCUAUUUGACCAAAAAUUCGGGCUUUGAGGCAAACUUUGGAGGUAGGGCUGAUGCUUUCACCAUGCCAAGGAUUGUUUUUCACAUCAGAGACCGGUAGAGCUCAUUAAUUCUCCAUGGUGGAUAUUUCCCCUGAUAUUCCACUUGAAUUCUCCAUCACUCAUUUUAAUUUUAUAUUUAAUAUUAUUAUUCCUGUUUGCACACUAAACAACCCUUCCUCCCUGCUGGUUGAUGUCCUCAUUGCGUUCCCUUUCUGCAAGGGAGAGCAAGAUCUUAUCCUUAAAAUAAACUCAGUGCUGGAGACUUUGGAGCCCUGCUU